rnacentral:rRNA from 1 species
GCUGACGAGUGGCGAACGGGUGAGUAAUGCAUCGGAACGUACCCAGUCGUGGGGGAUAACGUAGCGAAAGUUACGCUAAUACCGCAUACGUCCUGAGGGAGAAAGCGGGGGACCGUAAGGCCUCGCGCGAUUGGAGCGGCCGAUGUCGGAUUAGCUAGUUGGUAGGGUAAAGGCCUACCAAGGCGACGAUCCGUAGCGGGUCUGAGAGGAUGAUCCGCCACACUGGGACUGAGACACGGCCCAGACUCCUACGGGAGGCAGCAGUGGGGAAUUUUGGACAAUGGGCGAAAGCCUGAUCCAGCCAUGCCGCGUGAGUGAAGAAGGCCUUCGGGUUGUAAAGCUCUUUCAGAUGGAAAGAAAACGUACAGGUUAAUACCUUGUGCGGAUGACGGUACCAUCAGAAGAAGCACCGGCUAACUACGUGCCAGCAGCCGCGGUAAUACGUAGGGUGCGAGCGUUAAUCGGAAUUACUGGGCGUAAAGCGUGCGCAGGCGGUUAUGUAAGACAGAUGUGAAAUCCCCGGGCUCAACCUGGGAACUGCGUUUGUGACUGCAUAACUAGAGUACGGCAGAGGGGAGGGUGGAAUUCCGGGUGUAGCAGUGAAAUGCGUAGAGAUGCGGAGGAACACCGAAUGGCGAAAGCAGCCUCCUGGGCCAGUACUGACGCUCAUGCACGAAAGCGUGGGGAGCAAACAGGAUUAGAUACCCCUGGUAGUCCACGCCCUAACGAUGUCCAACUAGUUGUUCCGGGUGGAGGAGACUCAUUGAGUACGCAGCUACGCGUGAGUGACGCCUGGGGGGAGUACGGCCGCA